AGCUUUGUGCAGUGACAGUAUCAUUGACAAUGAGGAGAAUCUAGGGCAUAAUUAUUGCUAAUUGAAAAAUGAUGUCCUGCACUAAUUUCUAACUGAAGUUGCAGCUUUUAGUGGCAAAUAUCUGUCAGUCUGUCAU